UUCUGCAGAAUAAGGACCAGAACUUUACAGAGUAAACUGUGUCAGUUCUUUUACUAUUACAGCAGUUCAUCGUGGCCCUGUCAUUCGCCUCCUUCAGCAAAGCUCUGUCAGGGACCUACAUGAAGAGUGCAUCACUCAGAGAGACACUUUAACCUGUCCAGCUCUCUCAUCGGACUCAUGGACGGCAGCUUUGAGAUGGGUUUCAACAAUAACAUUGAGUUGCUUGAGAAUUCAUGUAACCUGCUGUUCCUGGCUGUGGUCAGCCAUUUUGGGGCGAAGCUGCACCGGCCCAGGUUCAUUGCUAUGGGCUGUUUCCUCAUGGCUAUAGGAUCCUUCCUCACAGACCUGCCACACUUCUUCAUGGGACGGUAAAACAACUGAAAUACUAGUUAAACUUGUGGAGAUACUCCAAUGCGGAGGAUAGUUUCACUUUAGAAAUAAAGAAAUGUAUCCAGUUGUUGAUUAAUCUCAGUUAACUUAGAACUAAAGUCUUGCGUAAUUGGUCAGCUGCUUGAUUAUGUUUUGGGGCCAUACGUGUUAAGAGAAGGGAUUAAGAGAUGCUGUAACUGUGACGUGGUAAGGUUGGACUCAGGUGCAGACAAGAGACCAGAAGAUGAAGCAGUGGUUCCAACCAGUGUCUCCAUCCCUCAAGGGCCCACUUAACUGCCAAAAGCUCCCAGUUGCCUACAUCGUAGUUGCCUUCCGCUGGCGAGACCCUCUUGGAGAGAAAGGUGCAUGGGUGCAGUUUCUUGUCCUCCUCGUUCCGCUGUGAAAGUACCGCACCAGCUCCGGUGUCCGAGGCGUCCACCUCUACCACAAAGGGACGAGUAGGAUCAGGAUGAAGGAGGAUGGGUCCGGAGGUGAAACGUCCCUUGAGCUCUAUGAAUGCCCUGUCAGUCUCGGGAUUCCUGCACAAACCUGCUUGAGUGAGGUGGGACAGGGCUGUAUGUGUUCCGGAGGUGUUUUUGGAGAAGAUCAGGAUGUCGUCGAGGUGAACAAAGACGAACCGGUUCAACAUAUCCCAAAGAGUGUCAUUGAUCAAUGCCUGAAAGACUGCCGGUGAGUUCGAUAUUCCAAAGGUCAUGACUAAAUACUCAGUGACCACUAGGGGUGUUAAAGGACAUUUUCCUCUCAUCUCCUGAUUCCUGCACAAACCUGCUUGAGUGAGGUGGGACAGGGCUGUAUGUGUUCCGGAGGUGUUUUUGGAGAAGAUCAGGAUGUCGUCGAGGUGAACAAAGACGAACCGGUUCAACAUAUCCCAAAGAGUGUCAUUGAUCAAUGCCUGAAAGACUGCCGGUGAGUUCGAUAUUCCAAAGGUCAUGACUAAAUACUCAGUGACCACUAGGGGUGUUAAAGGACAUUUUCCUCUCAUCUCCCUGAUUCUCUCCAGAAUUUAAGUGUUGCAGAGGUCCAGUUUGGUGAAGAAUUGGGCUCCUAGGGCCAACUCAAAGGCGGCAGACAUCGGGUAGGGGGUAAUGAUUCUUGAUCGUAAUCCUUUUCAGCCCUCUGUAAUCGAUGCAAGGACUGAAGUUUGGGUCAGAGACAGAGAGAUGAGGGAUGCGAUUAGACAUGCAGCCCAAUUAUGAUAUUUUUUCCCCUAAUUGGUCUUUUGACCAAUCACAUUAGAUAUUUUCAUAUCAGCUCUUUUUCAGAGCAUAUCUGAUUGGUCAAAAUACCAAUUACAAAAAUAAAAUGACUGAAUUGGGCUGCCUGUCUCAACGAAUCCAUAGAAACUGUUCCAACUGAAAUGUUCCAUCCUGUCAGUACUGAUGUUGAUUGGAAUUAAAUACACUUGUUUCGUUCUCUCCCAUCCCCUGUAGGUUUGUUGAACAUGAGUCGAAAUUAAACUCCAGCACACUGGUAGCACUAAAGACGUGUGAGUAUAACUUUUCCAGGUGAGUUGAACCUGACUGUGGGUGCAGUGGGGAUAUUCCUGGGAGGUCUACUGAUGAAGAGGUAUAAGCUUGGCGUUGUGUCUGGAGCCCAGAUGUCUUUCGUCAUCUCCUUCAUGGCCUACCUCCUCCUCCCUCUGCAGUCUGGCACUAAGUGUGACAACGUUCAGGUGGCUGGUCUGUCCGUGUCCUACAACGAGUAAAUAUGACAUCUGAUUGGUUGGUUGGUGGGUUGAUAAAAACAAACGUUUUGAUCAGUGGAAUAUGAGGGAGAGCUAGACCAAAACACACAUGGGCUUGUGCCGGGGCUCCCUCUUGUGGGAAUAUUCAGUAUGGUUGUUACAGAGCCAGGAUUCCUGGCUGUUUUGUCACUGUGCCUGUGUCAAUGAUAGUUCAGCAACAAUUAUUUAAACAUCAUUAUUACCAGCCAUUUUCUCUGUCCCCCAGGUCCCCUGGUGUACGAUGGCAGCCUGUUGUCAGAGUGUAACAGAGACUGCUUCUGCUUGGCUGGGGAGUGGGACUCUGUGUGUUCAGACAAUGGCAUCACCUACACCUCCCCCUGCCUCGCAGGCUGCUCCAGCUUUACAGGUUACGGCAAGAACACAGUACCAAUACUAUUAAUGUACUGAGUGUACAAAACAUUCACAGGGAUGCCGGCCCAUGUUGACUCCAAUGCUUCCCACAGUUGUGUCAAGUUGGCUGUAUGUCUUUUGAGUGGUGGACCAUUCUUGAUACACACGGGAAACUGUUGAGUGUAAACAACCCAGCAGCGUUGCAGUUCUUGACACAAACUGGUACCCCUGGCACCUACUACCAUGCCCUGUUGAAAGGCACGGAAAUAUUUUGUCUUGCCUAUUCACCCUCUGAAUGGCACACACACACAAUCCAUGUCUCAAUUGUCUCAAGCUUUACAAUAUAUUUUUUUAACCUUUCUCCUCCUCUUUAUCUACACUGAUUUAAGUGGAUUUAACUAGUGACAUCCAUAAGGGAUUAUAUCUUUAACCUGGAUUCACCUGGUCAGCAUAUGUCAUGGAAAGAGCAGGUGUUCUUAAUGUUUUAUACACUCAGUGUAACUCAUGGCACUGACAUGUACCACUGCAUAUACAUUCAGAGAGUUUGGUAUUUUUCCUGGAGGGCCACAAUGUGUAGUAAUCUUUGGCCAAACCAGGCACACUAGAGUCUAUGGAGCGAUAUGAUGUUGAAUCUGAAAUUAUGUCUUGGUUAAUGUCUAUAUGUCUUGGUUAAUGCCUGGUUGGAAAAAAUGAAAAAGACUGUAGCUCCUAAAGACAUGAUGGGCCACCACUUGGGUAGAAGCACUAUAUGGUCCUGUAGCCUACUUUGUCACAUGUAAACAAGUUUAGGAUGCCAAAUGUUACCAAACAUCCUACGCUUCCAUUUAGUCCCAGUUAAACUUAUCUUGACCUUUAUCAACCCUACUGGAUAUGCCCUUUAGCUUUCAUUUCAAUUUUAUUUUAUUGUACUUUGUUUGGGACGGCACAAGACACUUAAAAAAUAAAAUGGUGUAUAUUUUU